rnacentral:rRNA from 1 species
AACGAACGCUGGCGGCAUGCCUAACACAUGCAAGUCGAACGAGACCUUCGGGUCUAGUGGCGCACGGGUGCGUAACGCGUGGGAACCUGCCUUUAGGUUCGGAAUAACUCAGAGAAAUUUGAGCUAAUACCGGAUGAUGUCUUCGGACCAAAGAUUUAUCGCCUUUAGAUGGGCCCGCGUUGGAUUAGCUAGUUGGUGGGGUAAAGGCCUACCAAGGCGACGAUCCAUAGCUGGUCUGAGAGGAUGAUCAGCCACACUGGGACUGAGACACGGCCCAGACUCCUAGGGGAGGCAGCAGUGGGGAAUAUAGGACGAUGGGCGGAAGCAUGAUCCAGCAAUGCCGCGUAAGUGAUGAAGGCCUUAGGGUUGUAAAGCUCUUUUACACGAGAUGAUAAUGACGGUAUCGGGAGAAUAAGCUCCGGCUAACUCCGUG